rnacentral:rRNA from 1 species
UACGAAGGGGGCUAGCGUUGCUCGGAAUUACUGGGCGUAAAGGGCGCGUAGGCGGACAUUUAAGUUAGAGGUGAAAGCCCAGGGCUCAACCCUGGAAUAGCCUUUAAUACUGGAUGUCUUGAGUUCGGGAGAGGUGAGUGGAACUCCGAGUGUAGAGGUGAAAUUCGUAGAUAUUCGGAAGAACACCAGUGGCGAAGGCGACUCACUGGCCCGAUACUGACGCUGAGGCACGAAAGCGUGGGGAGCAAACAGG